rnacentral:misc_RNA from 1 species
AACCUAGCACACCUGCGGUGUGUACCUGCGGAAGGAUCAUUAACAAGCUGUGGGAGAUCGAUCAGUUUGAUCUCACACCUGGCCAACCUUGUUAACCUUAAAUAUAUUGCUUUGGUGAGCCCUGCUCACCAAAGUCAAACCCUAAACUCUUGAUUGUUUCUGCUGUCUGAGCAUGCAAGUGCAAAAUUUAGUUAAAAACUUUCAACAACGGAUCU